CUGAUUAUUAUUUUGGAAAGUGACAGCUGGCAUAACUUGCUGCGAUAGAUAGAUUUGGGCUUGGUUCAGCCCAAUUGAGCCUGGUUGCUCCGUUGAAGAAAAUGAUUCGUAAAGAAAUGAAGUUGAUAAAGAAGAAGAUUGUAAAUCAAAAGACGGAGAAACAGAAGGAGAAGGAGAAGGAGAAGAAGCACUUUUAAUAAAAGGUGCA
rnacentral:lncRNA from 1 species